rnacentral:rRNA from 1 species
AUCAACGCUGGCGGCGUGCCUCAGACAUGCAAGUCGAACGAUUAAAGCUCCCUUCGGGGAGUGCAUAAAGUGGCGCACGGGUGAGUAACACGUAAGUAAUCUACCUUCGAGUGGGGAAUAACAGUCGGAAACGACUGCUAAUACCGCAUAAUGCAGCGGCAUCGCAAGAUGACAGUUGUUAAAGCAUUUAUGCGCUUGAAGAUGAGCUUGCGGCAGAUUAGGUAGUUGGUAAGGUAACGGCUUACCAAGCCUGCGAUCUGUAUCCGACCCUGAGAGGGUGGUCGGACACACUGACACUAGAA